rnacentral:sRNA from 1 species
UUGUGUUGGGUCGGGGUGGGAUGUGGUUGGGGUGGACACACACUUUCCAUUCCUGUGACACUUGGUUGGCACAAUCUUCCCCAUCAGUGUGAGACCCUGUGAGGCAAAAGACCUCUCACCUGUCCCUACAGCCAUUUCUGACAUUUCCUGCUAACUAGAUAACACAAGAAGGUUUCCACUCCCAGGAUGGAGGGCUCACUCUCCCUAGGACUUUGGGGACCCUUGCUCAUCUCACAGGCCCAAUGAUUUGGGUGGCCCUGCCACCUCCACUCUCUCUUGCCUUUAGACUAAUUGCCAAGUGGAACAGACCCAGAAAACAAAUAGUUUCCACCCACAGACACCCAGGGGAGCAGGCUGGAUGAGUUCACACCCCCCAAAACUUCCACCUGCUCCUCUGUACGAACCCAAUGCUCCAGAGCUCUCUUCUAAAAUAACAUCAAAAGAAUGUACUCCCUUGCUUAACACCCCCAGUUCUAGGUAACAUCUUCAGAGCAUUCCAAAGUGCACAUCUACAGGGGAGUGCAGGGGACACAAAGACUGAACUGCUUGCCUUCCUACCUGGCCUGUUAGCUUGGGUUAAGUUCAAUGUAGGUCAGACAGCAUACCCCUGGGGCACACCGUCCCGUCCCUUUCUCCAGGCCUCUCAAUACUUCCUCAGAAUUUUCCUUCCUUUGGAUCCACUUGUCUGCAGUUCAGGAGUCAGUGCAGGGGCCAAGACUCAGCAGCCUCCCCUAAAGUGAAGCUGACCUUGGGUACCCGCCUUCCCCCACUUCCCAUUUCCUACAAAUCUCCUUAACUUGGUUCCAACCACACCUCACCCCCACCUCAGUCCAAGGCAAGCUCAGAGACACCCUGACUAUUCUGUUCAUAGUCACAUUCCCAGAGCCUGCCACACCUCAGAAGUCAAACAACCACUCACAAAGCAAAGGAAAAAACUACAAUAAAACCAGAACCCAAUUCCCAAAGCUCUGUGAGCCCUGCUUUUUCAGUCUUCAAUAUAGGAGUGCAGAGCUCAGUGUGGAGAACCCAUAGUCCCAGCUCCUUGUGAAGCUGAGGCAGGACGAUCACUGGAGAGAAUAGCCCAGGGAAGAGGGAAGACCUCAUCUUAAAAAGCUAAAUGUUUUCAGCCUAGUACCAGCUUGGUGGGAUAAGGGAGGUGCCCUGUUGACUUGAAUGGAGAGGCAGUAAGACAGUCUUCUAAGGUAACUUUCCAUUAGACCACUGAGGUCACUUAACACAGGAAAAAAUAACACACACUGGGACCCAAACAUGUGCACUGACCUGCUUCCAGUAGGAAAAGGUUGUACCCCUCAUAUCCCAAGUGACUGACUCCCUAGAUAUCUGAAAUGUCUGAGGCUGGUGCUUCCAAGAGUGUGCUCCCGGGCAGUGGUAGGAGGCCAGGGCUAGGAUUUGGACAGGGGGAGGGAAACUGCAAACACAGGCCUGCAUGUGGACUGGUGAAUCCUGACAAAGGCCAGGGAUGCAGUAGACAUUCUGGGACCCCUGACUCCGUUUGAUGGCAGGACCUCUACUCACCACCAUAGGAAGGAAGGAGGCUUGUGUUUGGCCAUCAUCCUAACGUGGUAGGCAGCAGGGUAUGUGUUAAAUUGCUUUGUUUAGGAGAAGGAACUUGGGGUUCCAGAAUGCCUGGGUCGCUCAGUCUGUCUUCCUCAUCUGAGAUGUUGCCAACCUAUUCCCAUAGGCUUAUUUGCAUAGUGUCAUGGUCACUUAACCUGUGUCCUACCCUGGCCCCAACACCAAAACCAGAGAAAUAACACCGGUAAAUAUUAGCCACUUUCAUCUCAUAAUCUGUUCCCUCAUGCUAUUCCUUCUCUGAGACCCUCUGAUCCCUCCUCUCUGUGAUAGGCAGUUGCUGCAGGGACCACCCUACCCCACUGCAUAGUUCUCUGGCCUGGAUACUUAGCUGGAGUUGAAGUUCCCAUGGUUACUACCGGUGCAUAUUUAUUGAACAUGUGGAUGUGCUCAGCACUGUGUGAGGCACUGUCCAUACACCAGCAUCCCCACAAUGUUGCCCUGCCCACUGCUACAUCCUCACAGAUGCAUCAAUGAGUCCUUGGCACACAGAAACAUGCCCAGGUUAUGACUUUCUUCCUGAGGCUGCUGGCUAUAAGAGCUGGCUCCAUCUGGGGAAGCAGACACCAGAAACCCGUGAGAGGGCAGAGGAGAGACAGAUCCAGGCCCUCCAGAGGGAGAGAGGCAAGGGGCUGAGGACUUGAUCAUUUAACUGGCACUACAAGACUCAGGUACUGUACAAACAUUCUCUCCUCACAGGGCUGAGCAGAGGAGUAAGGGUACUAAUAGAGAAGCUGAAGAAGCCAUAGAGGUCAGGCUGCUGGAAAUGCUGGCCCUGAAGCAGAAAGCCCUACCUCCAAGCCUUGCUUCAGUCUGGAGCCACUGACCCAUGCUUUGCCACUGCAGAAAGAACAACAGAGGCUUAGAAUCCCUUCACCUCCAGCCCAGGCCCAUCCUAGGAGGUUCCUGGAUAUGAAGUCAGGCCUCUCCCCUUUGUCAGUGACAAGACAGGCAGACACUUCCAGGAGAGGAAAAGGAAAAGACCCGGAAGUAGCAGCAAUGAGAUGGGCAGGAGGGCAGGCGUUGCACACUAGGGGUGGGGGAGGGUACCAGCACCUUUGAGAUGGAGCGGCCAAGGGCAUGAACCUCGGUGCUGGAUGCUGUUGGCCCCGGAGCUAGAGGGAUGACCUGUGGGAUGACGACUGCAUAGCGACAUGGGCACCUCGAUGCGUUUAAUGAAAGUAAAUAACUAGAGGGGCUUUGUAAAAACUGCCUUUCGGAAGCAGGACAGACGCUUAGCUGCUGAGCCCUGGCAAAUCUUCAGCACCAAACGAAACAAAACACAGCACACGUGCACAGGCCCACUGCCACCACUGGACUGCACUCCCAACACGGUGAGCACUUACAUGGGUGGGCCUCAGUGGCACUAACAGUUAUGAUAGCUUCCUGCCAAUUCUGGGAUUGCGACCCCAAAGCAAAGGUCCCUUCUCAGGUCCUGCCUGGCACCUAGCUGUUUGAUAUGAGGUGGCUGUCAACCCAGGUGGAGAACACCAUCCAUUCAGAUCACUGCGGGUCAGGAGGGCAAACCAGUGAAAUUUGGAAGUCUGAUUAGUGGGUGGACCCCCUUCAGAGACCCACAGGCUGCCUGCCCUGAAGAGAAGCAGGAAAUUCUGCCCAAGUGGAAGGUUUCUGGGGCUCUCCACAAUUGGAAGGCUCUCAUACUGGCUGGAGACUCCAUAGAAGGCACUGGUCAUCGAUGUUGGUGUUGAGGUCUGCCUUCCAGAGACAGAGGAAGGUGUGUUGUCUGCUGGUGUGUCCUAGGGUUCCAAGGACCAGAGAACAGGACUUUCAAAGAAUGGGUCCAGGGGCAGACAAGGAGAGCCAGUAGACUUAAGUUCAUUUUCACCAAUAUGGAUAAUGUGGGAAUUUUACAGGGGUUAUGCAUGUUUAGCAUAGUACUCUUGGUACAUUGUAGGUUCGGAAGGGCCAGUGUCUAAGCAAAGAAAACUGCACACCUAUUGGUUUUGUGCUGGUUGGUAGGAAACAAAAGGGAUAAUUGGAGUGAACUGUCUGUAGGUACCACUUGUGACCCUGUGGCACAAACGUCCAGUGGCUGCAUGCACAUUGAAAUCACCUGUCUCCACCUGAACACCCUUUACCAGUGCUCUCUAGACAAAGCUGGGAAGCAAUUUACUCUAGGGAAGAAACAGUUCACAUUCCAUUAUUAGAAAAGUUACUUGCUUUUGUAACUUUUGCUACAUAUUUUAUUUGUAUCUAAAUGUCUUAGGCAAUCUAAGAACAAAUGUAAAAGUAAAGAUGCAGUAAAAAGGAAUUGCUUGGUGUUCCUGGCCCCCGUGUGUGAACAAAAGCCUUAAACAAAGACAGCUGUAAACAAAGUCCCAUGGGUUAAGCUUCUUUUCUUCUUCUUUUAGCUUUUUGGUUUUUGACUUUUGUAAUUUUCUUUUUUGAUACUUAACAUGUAUGUGCUCUAAAAAAUAAUUAACAUGGAAAUAGAUUGAGAUGUUGCCUUUAAUGUCUUAUGAUAUUUUCAUGACAAUCCAAGCACAAUGUUAAGAACACUUGUAUUAAAGUUCGUGUGAGCAGAAUAAAAAUUUUAUGAAUGGAUUUUUUUCAACUAUCAAAAAAAAGAAAAGAAAAAUGGGGGCAGGACUUGGGUACAGCUCAGUGAAAGAACCUUUGACCUGGAAGGACUAGAAGGAGAGAAGAAAAAAACAAUUGGUUCAUGGCAGGCAUGGGAGAGCCUCUGCUAUCCCCGAAUCCUGGCUCGGUGCCAGUCUUUCUGGUUUGCUUCCAAAACAGUGAGAAUUAAGUUCAUAGCUGCCCACGUGGGUGCAUGUGAAUUAAUUCUUGGUUGCAUAGUGUAUAAAUUACUUUAAGUUUGCUGUAACUAAAUACUGCAGACAGCCUAAGAGAGGAGAGAUUUAUAUCGCCAUCCCAGUCCCUCAUAGCAGGGUAGGCAUGGCAGAAUGAGUCCAUCUAGUACUAAGGAGACAAGAUGGUGGCUGUUCAGAUGGCAUGGGACAGGAAACCAAUGCCACAAGCCCAAACCAGGAGUGUGUAUAACCUUCAAGGACUUGCCCCUAGUCUUAUUGUCAUUGACAAGCCCCAUACCUCUUAAAAGCUCCAUUGCCUACAAAAUAGAGCCACAGGCUGAGGACUGGGAACUCCAUUCACUGCAGACUCAAAACACAUCCCUGGCCCAGAGAGGGUCAUGCGCAUGCAGUCAGAAGUGCCCAGAGUAUAGCCUCUUCUGUGGUAAUCUGAGCUAUGAGCCCUGCAAAAUCAGAAAUGAGGCCACAUAGAUCUAUAAACCUUACACCAUCAGAAAGGAAAACCACACAGUUCCCACCCAUCAUAAAGCCGAGUAGACAUUCCCAUGUCAAAGAGACAGCAGGGGAGAGCAGCAAGAAGAGACCCGGUGCUGGAAAGAGGAAGACUCAGUGGCUAAGAGAACUUGCUGCUCUGACAGAAAACAGGAGUUCAUCUCCCAGCACCCAUGUUAAGCAAGUCAUGCCCUCUUCGGUUCUCUUCCUGCCUCCAUGGGGACCCAUACACACGAGAUCACAUAUACACAGAGGCAUAGCCACAAAACCUUUAAAGAAAAAGGUUGCAACUCUGGAAUGUAAACACAAGAUUCUACAGUUCCAUAUCUGACAUCCAGGGAUAAGGAGAUAUCUGAGGUGCAAGAGUCUAGGCAUUCAAGCCCCCCUGUUCUGCCAUUUGCACUUAUGGCCUCUCCCAUGAGUUGGCUCUGCUGCAUACCUAGAGCUUUCUCUGGUAGACGUCUCACAUCUCAAGCAGUUUCAAUGUCCAGAGGCUUCUACUACAACCUAGACAUCUUCAUGCAUCAGAGAAUCCAACCCUUCCUCACACUGUGCGGCCCCACAGGAUUUUUUUCAAACCCUGACAUCAGCCUGUGACCCUGUAACUUGUGCCUUCCGCAAACACAUAGAUAAUGGUAAGUUCUACUGCUAACUCAAGAGAUAGCUGGGUCCCCACAGACCAUGGCAGAUGUCCUCCAGGUGCGUGUGAUACUGAACUUGGUAAGCAUCUCCAGAAGGUCAACCAUUCGGCUCUUUAGUUUUGGGAGGGAAGUUAUUUGAUGUGCAUGAGUACACCCAUGCCAGAGGAAGCAUGAGAGAGCCAAAGGGCAACUUUUGGGUAUCGGGUACUGGUUCCCUUCUUCUAAUGUGUGAAUCAAUAGGCUUGGAGUCAGGGGCAGAUACCAAGUCAUCUCACUGACACAUUCUUUUGAAUUUCAAUUCAGGAAUUCUUUUACACAUCUGCAUGAGUGUGUGUGUGU